rnacentral:rRNA from 1 species
AUUGAACGCUGGCGGCAUGCCUUACACAUGCAAGUCGAACGGUAACAGAUCUUCGGAUGCUGACGAGUGGCGAACGGGUGAGUAAUACAUCGGAACGUGCCUAGUAGUGGGGGAUAACUACUCGAAAGAGUGGCUAAUACCGCAUGAGAUCUACGGAUGAAAGCAGGGGAUCGAAAGACCUUGUGCUACUAGAGCGGCCGAUGGCAGAUUAGGUAGUUGGUGGGAUAAAAGCUUACCAAGCCGACGAUCUGUAGCUGGUCUGAGAAGACGAUCAGCCACACUGGGACUGAGACACGGCCCAGACUCCUACGGGAGGCAGCAGUGGGGAAUUUUGGACAAUGGGCGAAAGCCUGAUCCAGCAAUGCCGCGUGCAGGAUGAAGGCCUUCGGGUUGUAAACUGCUUUUGUACGGAACGAAAAGCCCUGGGUUAAUACCCUGGGGUCAUGACGGUACCGUAAGAAUAAGCACCGGCUAACUACGUGCCAGCCGCCGCAGUAACAC